ensembl:lncRNA
GCUGGAGCUGGGGUGGAACCCCAGGUCAUGCCGGGAAUUCCAGCCAGGACAGCAGCUGACUGCAUUUCCUCUGUGUCAUAGUCAGCACCAGCUGCCCUGCAAAAUACCACCGACAGACACCUAUUUUCUGAGAGUUCAGAGGCUGGAAUGCUGGGAUCGGGGUGCCAGCCUGUGGGGUCCUGGUGAAGACCCUCUUUCUGGUUUGUAGCUGUGUUCUCACAUGGCACUGAGACAGAGCAAGCCCUCUGGCAUCUCUUCUUACAGGACCCUGAUCUUGUUAGGAAGGCUCCACCCUCAUGGCCCUAACUAACCCUAAUCACCUUUCCCCCCGAGACAAAAAUAUAGAUAUCGGAGGUUAGGGCUUCAAAUCUGAAUUUGAGGGGGACACGAGUAUUCAGUCUGUAGCACAGUGCCAUUGAAGCUGGGAGUUCUCCCAACCAGGUUCCUACUGACCUGUUUUCAGAACCCUUGGUGGCUCUGCCCCUGCAUCCUGGCUGCUGCCCCUGGUCACUCACCCUUCAGCUGGUUGCUCGGAGGAGCUGUUGCAGGAUGGGGGGAUUCUAGCAGCUUCCACCCUCGGCCUCAGCCUGGACCUCCUUCACGACAGAGUCUCCAGGGCCUAAGCAGAUGUCUGGUCACCACAACGGAAACUGAGAAGGAUUGCAGUUAGGAGCCACAGUGACCUGUGGUCUCUAGUCCGGAUGGCCCUGUGGGGAGCACUCGAGGAAGAAGAGGCUGACCGGCCCAAAGAGAUUUGCAGUUGAUGAUGUGCUGGCCAACUAAGUCCCAACACCCACGAAACUAUAAAAUGCAAAAGCACAAAGGCUUGGGGAAGAUGGCAAGUUAUAACAGAAUAAAGAAAGAUAUCAGGAGGAACAACUCCAGUUCCAGGAUCUUUUUCCAGAUAUUAGCUGGCAGUUCACCCCUCCUUCCACCUGUAGUACCAGCCAUUCAUGCCACUAUCCUGCCAACAGACUAUAGACACAAACUCAGCACCCAGGAAAUGAUGUUCUCUUCUGGGAGAUUCUGUGGACAGAAUCCAGAGAAGCUACGAAGUCUG